CAGUAGCCGCGGUAAUACGUAGGUGGCAAGCGUUGUCCGGAAUUAUUGGGCGUAAAGCGCGCGCAGGCGGCCUAUCCAGUCUGUCUUAAGAGUUCGGGGCUCAACCCCGUGAUGGGAUGGAAACUAGUAGGCUAGAGUAUCGGAGAGGAAAGCGGAAUUCCUAGUGUAGCGGUGAAAUGCGUAGAUAUUAGGAAGAACAUCAGUGGCGAAGGCGGCUUUCUGGACGAAAACUGACGCUGAGGCGCGAAAGCCAAGGGAGCGAACGGGAUUAGAUACCCCCGUAGUCCCUGUCUCUUAUACA
rnacentral:rRNA from 1 species